rnacentral:lncRNA from 1 species
CCAGGGGCUGGCCAAUGACCAGGCCGCCCGGGAUGAGCUAAUAAUGGAAGCAAUUUGUAACUUUCAGUAGCUCUCUAGGCCUGGGUACCGGAGGGAGGGAGGCGGGCAGAGGAGGGGAGAUGGGCACCCCCAGUCUUUCCAUCCUCCUCAUUCGUCUAGGGGCACCCGAAUCCCCUAUUCCUUAUUUCCCCUAUCACUCAGGCACUGGCAGGGUCCUUUGCCCACUCCUGUUGGCCGCUGCGGCUCCAAAGCGAGAUGUGCCUGACACAGGUUUGACCAGGCAACUGAAAAGACAUCUCUAAGAGAAGACAAAGCAAAGGUAUGAAAGGAACACACGUCCCUGACUGACUAGGAGGAACAGAGCUGCCUGCUAUCUGGAACAACUUCCUCCCAGACUAAGGUUUCCCAGAGGAAGAGAGAGAAUUUGGACAAAUGAAUGAGGAACAAUGCUCUCCUGAGAGUUUCUUUAAGGGGCGAGGGUCACUGCCACUAGCUCCUUUGAAAGCAGAAUUAAGAGGCAGUGCAGGAAGGCACAGCAGGAAGGCUUAUGGUUAGACUACAGAGAAGGAAACAGCCACUGCUGGGGACCUACCCUGUGCUGGUCACUGACAAGCUGUCUCAUGAAACCUUCCCAGACCCUCAACCCCUCCUAGUAUCUUAUCCUCAUUUUACAGAUGAGAAGACUGUGGCCCAGAGAGCUGUGAGUCAAACAGAAUCUGCCAACCUCUGGGCGGUGGGAGCAUCUCGGAAGCAAGGCAAGG